rnacentral:tRNA from 1 species
GAGCCCGUGGCUCAAUAGUAGAGCGUUUGACACAGUUACAAAUUUUGCGGGUUUGAAUCCCGUGUGCUCC